GUACACACCGCCCGUCGCUACUACCGAUUGAAUGAUUUAGUGAGGUCUUCGGACUGGUGCGCGGCAAUGCUCCGGCAUUGCCGAUGUUGCCGGGAAGAUGACCAAACUUGAUCAUUUAGAGGAAGUAAAAGUCGUAACAAGGUUUCCGUAGGUGAACCUGCGGAAGGAUCAUUA
rnacentral:rRNA from 1 species